CCCUUAGAUGUUCUGGGCAGCACGCGCGCUACAAUGGUCUUCGCAAACAGAUGCAUUCUCGAAGGAGAAUGCCAAUCUUGGAAUCUAUGCCUUGGUCGGGACAGUUGCUUGCAAUUUUUCGACUCGAACCAGGAAUUCCUUGUAAUCGUGAUUCAUCACAUCACGAUGAAUGCGUCCCUGCCCUUUGUACACACCGCCCGUCGCUCCUACCGAUCGAAGAGUUAGGUGAAUUGUUUUGAUCGAUAAGAUUUGACUAUGGUCAACUCUCGUUGUGAAAUUCUGUGAAUCUGACUGUUUAGAGGAAGGAAAAGUCGUAACA
rnacentral:rRNA from 1 species